GUUGGAUAUUGGUUAAAUAAAUUGAGAAUUGAAAAUCGAUUAAAGUUCGUAUCGAAUUCGGCCAAAUACUCAAAAGCUCGACUCAAUCCGUUUAGGCAAAAUUGUUUGCCACUUCGCCGCUUCGGGGCGCACAAACGGGGAUCGACCUGCCCGGUCAGGUCGCGAGGGUCGAGGGGGCAGCGCCCCUCGUGGGGGGUCGGGGGCAACGCCCCCGAAAGAGAAUUUUGAUUUCUCUGCAUGUAUUGAAAGGUAUAUUUGGCAUUUCGAAAACCAAUAUCGGAUGAAUGAGAAAUUACGAAAAAGACCUCAACCAUUAGUGAAUAGACACCUUUUCAUAAAGGUGCAUUGUUUGGAAAGGGUGCAUGGUUUGGCCUUAACCAUUUCGUCCACACCCCUUCAUGGUCUAUAAAUAGGACCCUUUGGGUGUCCUAUUCCUCACAGUUUGAUAUGCAAAAACGUCUUUCAUCCUCUCUUCUAUCCAAAAUCAAAAUCAUUUCAUUUAUUUUGAUUUUCUUUCAUUUCAUCUGUGGAGUACAUAAGCCUACAUUGGGUUCGUUGUACUUGUGUUUUGGAGUGCUACAAACACAAGUGUAGCCGUUGUAUCUUGGGAGUCGAUUGCCGAAAUCCGUAGGCACCGUUGCGGGGCAAAUUCGACUUAAGGACAAAGAGUCCAACUCUUGCCUCGACUUUGUCACCAUCAUUAUACUUAUUUCGGCGUCACUAUUCACAAAAUUCUUCCAACAGAUACUACGUGAAGGCUCACAAAGUUCUGUGAAUGACUUGUGAAGGACAGAUUUUUGUAUGGAGAGAAACUUUUACCCCGGAGCACUUGCUGUGGUAAAUCGGAUCUUCCGAAAGAAACAAAGUUGCAGUAUGAAAUUUCUUACCCUGUUUAAAAUGUAAGCUUAAAAGAAGUUUAGAUUGGUGGAGCGAAAAAUUAGAACUUUAAUUACUUUUUCAUUCCUUUUAUUAUUGUAUUAGAAGGAAACACAAUGAAUGUCCUUGGCUCUAAAUUUUGGUCAUAAUUUUUGAACAUUAUUAAUUUUCUAUGCUAGUUCUUAUUUCC
rnacentral:lncRNA from 1 species